ensembl:lncRNA
UUUUGCCUUCCUCGCCAGCAUGUGGUUGGGAUGGGGGCAUCGCAGCAAUCACCGAACGGUGCUAAUUAAUGAGAGCGAGGUGGGUUUGGCGAGGCUCUUCCACUGAUGUGCGGGGUCGUUGGUUCACGGGAAUUAAACCGAAGGGAAUCUUGGACCCAUCUUCGUGUUUCAUUUGCGUUCUUCCACUGCAUAACAAUGGUUCAACCUUCGGGCGGAUGGUCCUGAGCCCUGCAGCAAAAUCCCUCCUCCGAGGCUGAGCGGGCUCAGUCCCAGCGAGCUGCAGGGCAGGAAGCUCUGUUUCCUGAGAUUGGAAGGAAUGUAUUUCAGAACUGCCUGGCUCUUAGUGGGAUUUAGCUGCUGUUCAGUGCUUUGUCGCCAGGAGCUUCAGAGGAACGCAGACGCCAGCAGUGGGUGCCAGGUGCUAAUGAAAGAAUGCAAAUAGCACCGCCUGAGCCGAACAUCUCAUAAAGACGGGAGCAGCGCGGAGCGCGGAUCGCUGCCGGCCCCCACCCCAGGCUCCCUCUCCCAGGUCACCGCACGGACACCCUGAGCCUCCUCGAAGUGCUGGAGAUGAACCCAUAGCAGUGGGCAGCAGGUAGGAGGCUCAGCCCUGGCCGUGGUGCCGUGUGCUGCAUGGCCCAUCACCGGGGUGUUCCAGGGUCUGAGCUGCUGCAGGGUGUGCUGCAGGCUUUACACCCCUUUGAGGUGAUGCACUUGCUGGAGUUUGCAAUUUCAGGGCGAGGUGGUUGGUGAUGGAUCAUUCAAAAGGAUGUUUAGAGUGGCAAAGGUCUGACUUGCAUUUUCACUUGUUUAUUGCUGCUUGCUGUGUGCCGUUGGUGUUGCUUGGAGCUGCCUGGACAAAAGCAUGCCCCUGUCCAGGUCCUUGCUGCAGUUGUCUGAGCCCAGGAGAUGUGCAGGUUGCCUCUCAGUUCCUUCUGCUGUGAUUUUCUGUCUGACUCUGUAACCAGCAGCUGGCUCCUAUAAAAUAUUUAGAAGCAGAGGCUGUGGUUGCUUUUUGUGCCUUGUAGAUGAGGAUGACCAUCAGGUACCCAACUUCUGUGCUCCCUUAUUGCCCUCCCCAUCCCUUGCAGCGCACCUCGUAACUUUCCUGAAGUUGCUUCACUUACUGAUGAAAAUUCACUCUUCUUAGGGAUGCUGGUUGUUUAAAUAUAGGGAAUUUGUGGAAGUGAAGCAUGUGGAGCACUGAGAAGACCCUCCAGGAGAAAAUGCUGAACCAAUGCCCAGUGCUGGGCAUUGACCGUGCUUGUUUGUGGUAGCACAGCCCAGGCUUGGUGUGUGCACUGGGAAGUCCUUAGGGACCAAGAGUCACAUGGCUGAUAGGACACAGAUGGAUGUAGCCCUUGUAUGAAGAUUGGGUUUGAUUGCUGCCUGCUUUGGAGCACACAGCCUUCAGAGGUGCACACCUCAUGGCAGUUUGGUGUUUUACAAUGGUGCAGCUCUGUAUUGGUGUUUUCAGAGUUGAAAUGUGGUAGCAUGGGGUGGGCAGCAAAACAGCAUUUCUGCUUGGGUGAAAGAGCAGGGAAGCCAUGGGGGAUGAGGGAAGAUGGGCUGGAGAGGCCACCUGCAGAAGCUGCAGCCAUGUACUGGGGAGAAGCUGCUGUCCUGGCAGCAAGAGGAGAAUGGAAGGAGGAUGCUGCCAUGUGGCACGGCCUCAUCCUCGGUCUCAAUGGCCAAUGGUAAUUGAAGGGGACAGAAUUUGCCCCAUGGCAGCAGCAGGUAGCUUGUCUCCAGUGAGAGCUCAGAGCUGUCUCCAUCAGGAAAAUAAUUCUUGCUCCACGGCUGUUAUAACUCAUUAUCUCACUGACCUUUAAUUCUGCAAGUGUUCCUUGCAAUGUGUUUCUUCAGCCUGCUCCAGCUCCUGACCUCCGUUCCCAGAGGCAGCAGGAUAAAAUAUUCAUCUGCUGUGCUGUCUAGCUGCUUUGCAUCCCUCCUCCACCCCUCUGUUUCUGUCCUUUUUGGCAAUCUGUCGUUUUUUAUUUUUGGUAUGAGUCCAGGAGCUGAGCAAAAACUACUUGGGCAGCUGGAGCAAGAAACAAUGGGUUUUAAACACACUUUUAUGUGUUUGUAAACAAGUACUCUUCAUCAGGGUCCCUGCCCAGUGCCCUGGGCAGCAGGCAAAACUGAGACUCUUCUGAGGUCAACAUUAAUUACAUGGUGUAAAACGGUGCAAAAUGGUCAAAGAUGCAGUGGGAAGUAUCUCCUGUCCCACUGCCCUCAUAUCUUCAUAGCAUCAUAAAGGUUGGAAAAGACCUCUGAGAUCAGCACGUCCGGCCGUGAUACCAUGCUCAUCACUGUGGUCACUGAGCACCUGAGAUGGCUCUUUUCUCAGCUGCGGCAGGGAAGUUGGGCAAAGGUUGCUAACAGUGUUGGGAGGAUCCCGUUGGCUUUGGGGGUGCUCCAUGAGACGUCACACCUGUUGGAAAUCAGCUGCUGGGGAAGAAUGAUGCAGAGAACAAUCCUGCUGUCUCGUCAAAAUCUCUCAGUUUCCCCCUAAUUUCCACAGCUUGUUCAUGGUGGGCAAAUGGAGGAGGAGAAAAGCCAAAGAGCUCUGAGUCCAACCCCUUUGCUGCACCCCAGCACAGCUCCCAGCCCAUGGCUGCUCUGUAGCUGCUUGGGGACGGAUGCAGCCACUCCGAGCUCUCCCGUGAGCAGCAGCAUAAUUGCAGAAAUUGGCACGGUGGCUUGGAACGAGAUCUAAUUAAUUAAUUCAAGACAUGCUGGGAUUCAAUUUUAUUAAACCUUGGAAUCAGAGUAGACUAGAUGAAAUGUAAGCAAAGGUUUGGGAAAGGAGGGGUAUGAGCUGCCUGCCAGUGCUGCCGUCGUGGGACCUUCAUGCCCUUCACCGGCAUGGCACCGAGGGCACGCUCAGGGUGUGGAAGUAUAUAUGUGUGUAUGUACACAUAUACAUCCAGCAGCAGCCUGCUGUGAGGGUUUAUCUGCAUCUUGGGCCAUCAGGGAGGCUCUGUUUCCCCCACCCCCUUCUACGUUGCCUUGUGCAAGGUGCCUGCCCUGUCUGUCUCUCACACUCCCCAACAGCACAAGUGGUGAUGAAGGGGUUUCUUUGGCCUCUCCCUGCCCCUGUGC